ACGCUCCCAUGGGCAGCACACAGACUUAAAUUAGAACGAUACAGAGAUUAGCAUGACCCCAGCAUGGGGAUAACAUUUGUGAAGUAUUCCAUAUUUUU
ensembl:snRNA U6 U6 spliceosomal RNA